rnacentral:misc_RNA from 1 species
AACUUACACCAACUUGAACCGCUUGAUAUCCCAAGUCAUCUCCUCGUUAACUACUUCCUUGCGGUUUGAUGGUGCUAUCAACGUGGAUAUAACCGAGUUUCAAACUAACCUUGUACCUUAUCCACGUAUUCAUUUCAUGCUCUCUUCUUAUGCUCCUGUGAUUUCUUCCGCAAAAGCUUACCAUGAGCAGCUAUCUGUCCCUGAAAUCACCAAUGCUGUAUUUGAUCCCUCAAGCAUGAUGGUCAAGUGUGACCCGAGGCACGGAAAGUACAUGGCAUGCUGUUUGAUGUAUAGAGGAGAUGUUGUACCCUCCACCUCCCUGAAAUCACCAAUGCUGUAUUUGAUCCCUCAAGCAUGAUGGUCAAGUGUGACCCGAGGCACGGAAAGUACAUGGCAUGCUGUUUGAUGUAUAGAGGAGAUGUUGUACCCUCCACC